UUCUCAUCUCACAAACCAGUUUCAUCUCACGGAGGCCGCUGCGCACAAGGCAGUGGGGGUGGUUUCGUUGUAAUGUGGCCUCUGCCGGCUGAGUUCCAUAUUUGUGGUUCAUCUGCCUUAGAGGUGCCAAAGGAGGAAACUGAGGCCCAGAAACUGAAAGUAAGAUGCACCUGUGCACAAAAUUGGAAUCAAAUCCAAGUAUCUCAGUGCCAAGAGUCAGGACCCUGGACGAAUCUGCCUCAAGCCAUGUCUGACACAGGAAGGCAUACAUCAAAGGGAUAACAGGUGACGAGCAGAACACCUCUGCAUCCAGUUGGAGAACGUUGUAGAAUGAGUUGAUAUGAAUGGGAAGAGCUAGAAAGAUCGUGAAGACUCGGGUUCCCACCAUAUUUACGUCUGUGAUGGUGGAGACGCUGUGUGAACAAUGGAAGCACUGGACCAAAGGGUGAGAAAGCGGGGGAGUGGGGCUGGGAGAUGACUUGGUGUGUGUAAUCAUUUUCCACAUAACCAUGAAGUCCUUAGGUCAAAUCCCCAGAACCCAUGGAAAGCCAGAUGCAUAGUGUAAGCAUCUGUGAUCCUAGCAAUGCUACAGAGAGAGGGGAGGCAGAGUCAGGGCAUUCCUCCGAAGCUUGUAAACCGGUCAGUCGGGAGAACGCAGUGAAAACCAACCAAGAGACCCUGUCUCAAUCAAGAAAGUAAGAGCCAGGCAUCACAGUGCACUCCUUUAACCUUAGCACUUGAGAAGCAGCAACUGGAUCUCUGAGUUCAAGGCCAGCCUGGUCUACAAAGCAAGUUUCAGGACAGCCAGGACUACACAGAGAAAUCCUGUCUCUAAAAACAAAAACAAACAAAACCAAAACAGAACAAAAAGGUGGAGCGCAAGAACUAAUGUGCCAGGGCAAAGCAGUGGAGGUUCCUCCAUCUUGUACUCUUGCUGAGGAUAUUUUAUGGUUAACUAGAAUUUGAUCUCUAUGAUAGACAAUCCCUUGGGAAAUUGCCCAACUGUGUUCUAGGAACCUGAAGCCAAGAUGCCCAGCUAAUUUUUCUUAGUGUCUGUUAAACUACCUGCUUACACAAACCUCCCUUUCCAGCUAACUGCUUGUCUUAGCUUCUGUUUAGCCCCCUGCUUGUACAAAAACCUCCUGCUGCAGCUGCUGAGUAAGAUAUAGGGUGGGGUUUUUCCUUUAAAAGCCCCUUGCUCUAAAUGUUCAGGGUUACAUUCGGGUUCUGAGUGUAAUCCCAACUGGCGAGAAUACUUUCCUUUUGUUGAUGUUGUUUUGGUUUGGUUGUUUGUUUUUCUUUUUCUUUUCUGAGACUGGGUUUCUCUGUGUGUAGCCCUGGCUGUCCUGGAACUCACUCUGUAGACGAGGCUGACCUUGAACUCAGAGAUCUAUCUGCCUCUACCUCCUGAGUGCUGGGAUUAAAGGUGUGUGCCUCCACUGCCUGACUGUAGAAUAAACACUUUCAGUUGGCCAUGGACUGUGUUUGAGCCGUCAUCUCUGGUGGGCAACCUAUAACAGUGACACCUGAGGUUGUCCCCUGAGAUCCACACAUGCACCGUGACACACACAGCGCAUACAUGUGCAUGUCAUCUAAGUACACAUACCAAAGAUCCCUAGUUCAAUCCUGUGUUUUGAAGGGGGGAGAUUUGGGGACCAUUGGCAAAG
rnacentral:lncRNA from 1 species